rnacentral:rRNA from 1 species
AGUGAACGCUGGCGGUAGGCCUAACACAUGCAAGUCGAACGGCAGCACAGGAGAGCUUGCUCUCUGGGUGGCGAGUGGCGGACGGGUGAGGAAUACAUCGGAAUCUACUUUUUCGUGGGGGAUAACGUAGGGAAACUUACGCUAAUACCGCAUACGACCUACGGGUGAAAGCAGGGGACCUUCGGGCCUUGCGCGAUUGAAUGAGCCGAUGUCGGAUUAGCUAGUUGGCGGGGUAAAGGCCCACCAAGGCGACGAUCCGUAGCUGGUCUGAGAGGAUGAGCAGCCACACGGGAAGUGAGACACGGGCCAGACUCCUACGGGAGGAAGCAGUGGGGAAUAUUGGACAAUGGGCGCAAGCCUGAUCCAGCCAUACCGCGUGGGUGAAGAAGGCCUUCGGGUUGUAAAGCCCUUUUGUUGGGAAAGAAAUCCAGCUGGCUAAUACCCGGUUGGGAUGACGGUACCCAAAGAAUAAGCACCGGCUAACUUCGUGCCAGCAGCCGCGGUAA